rnacentral:rRNA from 1 species
GAUGAACGCUGGCGGCGUGCCUAAUACAUGCAAGUCGAGCGAACAGACGAGGAGCUUGCUCCUCUGACGUUAGCGGCGGACGGGUGAGUAACACGUGGAUAACCUACCUAUAAGACUGGGAUAACUUCGGGAAACCGGAGCUAAUACCGGAUAAUAUAUUGAACCGCAUGGUUCAAUAGUGAAAGACGGUUUUGCUGUCACUUAUAGAUGGAUCCGCGCCGCAUUAGCUAGUUGGUAAGGUAACGGCUUACCAAGGCGACGAUGCGUAGCCGACCUGAGAGGGUGAUCGGCCACACUGGAACUGAGACACGGUCCAGACUCCUACGGGAGGCAGCAGUAGGGAAUCUUCCGCAAUGGGCGAAAGCUUGACGGAGCAACGCCGCGUGAGUGAUGAAGGUCUUCGGACCGUAAAACUCUGUUAUUAGGGAAGAACAAAUGUGUAAGUAACUAUGCACGUCUUGACGGUACCUAAUCAGAAAGCCACGGCUAACUACGUG